rnacentral:rRNA from 1 species
AAUAGCUCACUGGUCGAGCGUCUCUGCGCGGAAAAUUUAACGGGGCUAAGAUACAAACCGAAGCUUAGGCUGCACUUUUAGUGCGGGGUAGGGGAGCGUUGUGUAAGCGGAGAAACAGUAGCGGAAGCGGCUGUGGAGUUUACAGAAGUGAGAAUGCCGGAAUGAGUAGCGCGAAUGAUGUGAGAAUCAUCAUGGCCGGAAACCUCAGGUUUUUGGAGGAAGGUUCGUCCGCUCCAAGUUAGGCGGGAGCUAAGGUGAGGCCGAAAGGCGUAGCCGAUGCACAGACGGUAGAGAUUCCGUCCCCACCGAAAGAUUUAAGCGCAGGGACACUUUUAGAAGGUCGGAGCCAGGUGUUGGUUCUGGUAGAGAUCGAGGGAAAUUUAGUACCGAAGUCCGGCUGGAUAAGAGGCGAGAAAAGCUGCGUGUAUAUCUAAGGUGCCCGUACCGCAAACCGACACAGGUAGGUAGGAAGAAGAUUCUAAGGCCAACGGGAGAAGGGUUGUUAAGGAACUCGGCAAAUUGACCCCGUAACUUCGGGAGAAGGGGUGCUCCAGAGAUGGAGCCGCAGAGAAUCGGCCCAAGCAACUGUUUACCAAAAACACAGGUUUGUGCUAAAUCGAAAGAUGACGUAUACGAGCUGACGCCUGCCCGGUGCUGGAAGGUUAAGAGGAGAUGUGCAAGCAUUGAAUCGAAGCCCCAGUGAACGGCGGCCGUAACUAUAACGGUCCUAAGGUAGCGAAAUUCCUUGUCAGGUAAGUUCUGACCCGCAUGAAAGGCGUAAUGAUUUGGGCACUGUCUCAACAGCCCGCCCGGCGAAAUUGUAGUACCGGUGAAGAUGCCGGUUACCCGCGACAAGACGGAAAGACCCCAUGGAGCUUUACUGUAGCCUGAUAUUGGGUUUCGGUGUUGCAUGCACAGGAUAGAUGGGACGCUGGGAAAGAGUCGCUUUGGCGAUUCUGGAGCGGACGUUGGGAUACCAUCCUUGCGACAUUGGAAUUCUAACCUGCGCCUCUGAAUCGAGGCGGGGGACAUUGUCAGGUGGGCAGUUUGACUGGGGCGGUCGCCUCCUAAAAAGUAGCGGAGGCGUUCAAAGGUUCGCUCAGCUUGGACGGAAACCAAGCUAGAGAGUGCAAACGCAAAAGCGAGCCUGACUGCGAGACUGACGGGUCGAGCAGAGACGAAAGUCGGAGUUAGUGAUCCGGUGGUAUGUGAGUGGAAAUGCCAUCGCUCAACGGAUAAAAGUUACCCUGGGGAUAACAGGCUGAUCUCCCCCAAGAGUCCACAUCGACGGGGAGGUUUGGCACCUCGAUGUCGGCUCAUCGCAUCCUGGGGCUGUAUUCGGUCCCAAGGGUUUGGCUGUUCGCCAAUUAAAGCGGUACGCGAGCUGGGUUCAGAACGUCGUGAGACAGUUCGGUCCCUAUCUGUCGUGGGCGCAGGAUAUUUGAAAGGCGCUGUCCCUAGUACGAGAGGACCGGGAUGGACGAACCUCUGGUGCACCAGUUGUCACGCCAGUGGCACAGCUGGGCAGCUAUGUUCGGAUCGGAUAAACGCUGAAAGCAUCUAAGCGUGAAGCCGGCCUUAAGAUAAGAUAUCCCACUGAGUCAAUCAGGUAAGACCCCUUGAAGACUACAAGGUUGAUAGGCACAGAGUGUAAGCGGAGUGAUCCGUUCAGCUAGUGUGUACUAAUAGGUCGAGGGCUUGACCC